UGACAGGGAAAUGGCUAAACUGUGGUAUACUCAUAUAAUAAAAUACUAAGCAAUAAAACAUAUGCAAUAACAUAGAUAACUUACAAAGAAAGUAUGUUCUGUGAAAGAAACCAGGCAAAAGAUCAUACAUAAUGUAUAAUUUUAUAAAUACUAGAAAAUGCAAACUAAUCUAAAGUAACAGAGGUGCUUGCUUCUUUUACCCCUACUAUUACCUAAGGAUGUGGCAGCGGAGUUCAGUAGCAGAGUGGAGUGACUACAGAAGAGCACAAAGAAACUUUCGGGGUGAUAGGCAGAUGGAUCCUGAUUACAGUAUUACAGCAGGGUAUUAGAGUUUCCAUUUUUCUAAAAGUUUUCCAAGAUGGUCACUGUGGUAUGCACCUUUACUCCCAUCUCCAGAGGCUGAGGCAGGAGGAUCACUUGAUCUCAGAAGUUUGAAGCUGCAGUGAGCUAUGAUGGCACCACCACAUUUUUAGCCAGGGUGACCGAGG
rnacentral:lncRNA from 1 species